AAAAAAAAGAGGAUUAUUUGUGGCAGGGAUUACUUCGUUUACGAAUUCGCAGGAGGCGAGGGCGGAACGGAAGGCUGGAAAUUGGACGGGGAAGAACUCGAAGGCGGCGGAGAGGAGAGCGGAGGCGGCCACCACUGAAGGAUCUCGGUCGCGUGGGCUUGGAGUGCUUGGAGGAGAGGGGGUUGGGCGGGUGAGAAGAAGGAAGUGAAGAACCGGAGAAAGGAGAAGGGGGUGAUCGAUCGCAUCCGCCAAUCCAGUGCUUCGAGCACCAGAAGCUCCAUUCUCCGGAUCGUUUGGGCGUCGAACACAAAAUAUUCCUCUCUCUGCAAAUUCGAUCCAAAUGAAACAGUGAAAUCGAUCCAUGUGACCUCGAUUUUUUUGAGAAAGAGGAACCUCUGUUUACCAGGAAAUCCGCUAGAGGUUUGCAGGUUUUCUUCAUCUUGGACGCGAGGGAUAGGCAGGAGAUGGAGAGGAGACGAACGAUCCACGGCUUCUCUAUCUGCAACAGGAGAUCGCUGCUUCUGUAUUAGAUCGACAAUCUGGAAUUAACCGAUUCGAUUGGUCAUCUUCUUCAACUACUACUCAUUUACAGUGACUGAUACCGGGAUUUCGCGCUUGGAAAGGUACCGAUCAAUGUAGUUGAUUGCAAGGCAAGCGACGAAGGGGUCCAGAUUGCAAUUGAACUGCGCCUGCCCACGAAAACAUCACCGCCAUGGAAAAGAUCGGAUCUUUCGUUAGUCUGAGCGUCGAGGUAUAGCAUUACCUGAAGGACCAGAGAGACGGCGUUUCGCCGGGCGGAGGGAUCAAUAGCGCCGACGGUAGAGAUGAUGUGGUCGGCCUCGGCGGCGAAGAGCGCCGAGAUGGAGCCCCACCGAGGUUGCUGCUCGUCGUCAGAGCUCGACAUCUGGUUCUCGAGAUCGAACUCCAUUCCUGCUCCUUAAGUCGUCGUCUCUGCUACCCUGUCGAUCUCAAAGUGAGAAGUAAAAGGUAAAGAUGAAACCUUUAGAACGAGAGACGACCGAAGCGAGCUUUAUAGGUGAAACCACGACGACAGAAAGAGAAAGAGAAGGUGAGAGAAUGAACGGAUAGACUUCUCCUUCACGCUUCUUCCAAUGCUACAACAGAACAGGUGUGAGAAAGAUCCUCUGUUGCGCUGUCUCUCCAAGUUCUCCUGUCGAUUGGUGCUUCCUACUGCUAUUAAUCCUGAUUUCCCUCUUUCGUUAUGGGGACUAGAGAGAGAGGAGGAGGAGGAGGCUUUGCCAUUGCCAUAAGCAUCUUUCCUUGGAUUAAAGUUUCAGAAAAACCAAGAGAGAGAGAGAGAGAAGGUGGUGGCAGGGGAGAGGAACAGCGAGAGCUGCUGUGACAGGCGAACAGGUGUCGCUGCCUUACGGGGGCGAAGAAGUGGGGACGGCGGGGGCCGCAGGCGCAGUGGCAGCAGCGGCGCAGAGCAGCUGCAGCAGCAGAAGAAACAGAACAGAGUAUUCGGUCUGACGCCUGUAUUGUUCGACUUUGAUUGCUCUUCUCUCUCUCUCUCUAUAGUUGGACGCGGAGGUGCUCAACUGCAAGCAAAUCAAUGCAGGAUGUUGGACGCGGAGGUGCUCAACAGGCAAAGAGAUCCUCUCGCAUGAGAGCAACCUCUUAUUUCAUUUUUGGACAGUGUAAACCAUCCCUGAACGCUAAGCUUCGUUCUCCCCGAGAGCCCUGCAACAUAGAUUAAGCUAAUGCCCAACCAAAUCUACCUAAGAGUUUAUGCUCAUCUAACGCAAGUCGCCUGUAGUUGAGCUGAAGCUAAUUGCUCCUCUAAUCAAUUCGAGUAUAUGAUUGCUUGUAUUGGAUUAAAUGGACAGUAGCUGAGAACAGAAGAAGGACAGAGGAGGCCUCAUGGAUGCGUCCUCUUCCUCAUUCAGGCAAGCCACUGCCUGCUGUUUCGCUCACAGAGCUCUGAUGGCCAGCCACCCCAUGUGAGAGUGCCCCAUGAACGGAGAAGGAAACGUUUGCGUCUCCUGUGCUGCCACAAAGCAGCAUUUGCCAGCUAUCUCGCCAUGUCCUUUGAGGCAGAACACAAGGAAGGAGUGCGUCGAGUCCUCCUUUAAUUGGCCCUCCACCACUUGGCCUGUAUCGGAAAGAAGAAAGGUCCCAAACAUGGGUUGCACUGUUCAUUCCAGUCUACGAAAUCCCAGGGAAAGUAAUGUCUUCUUCUUCCUUCUUGAAGAACUGAGCGACUGAAGCAGCAACCAGAUAGAUAUAGCUUGGCAUGUACCCUUUUCCAUGGCGAGGCUGGUGGGAAGCCCAUGUGAGGGGCUCGGAAUCCUGCACAGAGGAACAUGUCGAGAUGAUUGUGGGGGAUGAAGAACUGUCAGAUUUGAAUGCUGCUUGGUCCCUCGGAGGCCACCAAAGCCAGAAACCAUUUCGUUUCAUGCCAAGGACUUGACUCUGCCCAUCUCUCUCUCUCUCUCUCUCUCUCUACAGGGCACACAAGCUUUUGGGAUGUUAAAGAAGAUGCAUUUAUGUAUAUGUCAUGUUGCUUUCUUGGUUCCA